UCCUUCACAAUCCCUAUUUAAGGAGAAAGAAGAAAACCCUUCCUCUUCCUCUUCCUCCCCCUCUCUAUUCACAACUUAUAGAUACAAAUAUACUUACACCUUUCGGUUUUUCACUGGUUUACAAUUCCAAUAAAUCAGGAGAUUUAAGCACUUGCAAUCUUUUAUAUCAUGAGCAGCCAGGACCAGAUUCGGAGGUAUACAAGGGCUAGAAGUAGGAAACGAAUGUUAGAUGUUGAUCUCAAUGCUGUGCCGCCAUGUGAAAGUCGGGAUCAGGAGGGGCCUUCUAGUCGUACUAGGUCACAGGACAUGCAAGCAGCUCAAGAAGGAGACACUGCAGUGCCUCCACCAAUUGAUCUGGAGGCAUUUGAUGAUGAUGUUGUUAUUUCUUCACCAAGGGCAUUUGCAGAAGCCAAAAACAAUUCCAGAAGGAAUCGUGGACGUACAGUUGUGGUUGAUGUUGAAUCUGAGGAAAGGUCAUCUCGCAACAAGCGCAGGAGGGUUCCAACAAAUCAGACGAUUAUAAAUUGUGACCUUUACAUAAAUCUAGAAGGAAGCAGCAAUUCAACGAGAAAGAGUGGACAGAGCUCAGAAUUGCCAACUGUACCGCCGCCGCCACCACAGGAGCCAACAUUUAGCUGUCCUGUUUGCAUGGGCCCAUUAGUCGAGGAGAUGUCGACAAAAUGUGGGCAUAUUUUCUGCAAGGCAUGCAUCAAAGCUGCCAUAGCUGCUCAAAGCAAAUGCCCCACUUGCAGGAGAAGAACCACUGUGAAAGACAUUAUUAGAAUUUACCUUCCUGCCACCAGAAGUGCUUGAGGGUUAUGAUGAGUAAAGGGCCUCAUGAGAUGCUACAAAAUUUGGUUUAAAAUUUUUAAAUUAAAUACUCUAUUGACCCAUUGAUGAAAAAACUUGGGUUACUGUAUUCCUAUCCAUCUGGAACUGUUGAAUAGUGAACACUUGGCUAGUAGCAGUCUGCUCAACCAGAGAUAAGUUCUUUGCACAACAAAAUAUUAAAUAAUGUUGCCUUGGAUGACGCAUUAAUUGGAUUCGCCCUUGCAUUUCACGCAUCCGGAUAUGCUACUUUUCUGGAAGCUGUGGCAUUGACAUGAAAGAGAUUGAUUGGUAGGAUGUGAAAUCUGGAAGAUGGAUGGAUGUUAGAUUCUUAAGUUGAAUGCCUUCGGCGGAGAUGGGCUGGUAAUGACCUACUUCUGCCGGGAACUCUUAAGCAUUAGAUUGUUGCGAGUCGAGGGGGAGUUGUUACUGUAUUUUGUCAGAUGCCCAUCAACAAUAUGCACCUUUUUAUAGCUUUGGUUGCCAAGAGGGCAUGACGCGGUAACAUUGUCACUACAAUCCAAUUGCUGUUUAUUUUAUAACUUGCUUCUGGUAA